rnacentral:rRNA from 1 species
UACGAAGGGGGGCUAGCGUUGUUCGGAUUUACUGGGCGUAAAGCGCACGUAGGCGGUUUGUUAAGUCAGGGGUGAAAUCCCAGAGCUCAACUCUGGAACUGCCUUUGAUACUGGCAAGCUAGAGUCCGGAAGAGGUAAGUGGAACUCCUAGUGUAGAGGUGGAAUUCGUAGAUAUUAGGAAGAACACCAGUGGCGAGGCGGCUUACUGGUCCGGAACUGACGCUGAGGUGCGAAAGCGUGGGGAGCAAACAGG